rnacentral:tRNA from 1 species
GGGCUGGGGCUCGGUGGCAGAGCAUUCGCUUAGCAUGUGCGAGGUGCUGGGUUCAAACCUCAGCACCACA